CACGGCCAGUUGACCUCCGCGAGACGGGGCCUGCGGGGACAGGGCGGGCCCCCACUUCUGCUUUCCGCUGCAGGGACAGACUGUUUCAUGUAGCUUUGUGAAAGGGGGCUGGGAGCGUUUGUGCUCCAGCCGCGGGCCCGGGUCCGAAGGCUGAGAGGGGUGGGCCCCGGGGCAGGCCGUCAGAAGACCGGCGAUGAGGACCCUCUGGCCUGAGAACUUCGUGCCCAGGGCUGGGGCGAGCAGCCAGGAAAGCUGCCUUUGUGUGGCUCUCAAGCUGCGGCUUCCAGAACUUUCCUAAGGGUGUUUUGAUCACGUCCGCCUGUGCCCUGCCCUGCAGGGCUGCUUUGGCAUCGAAAACCCUCAUUUCAGUCAAAGCUUGAUCCCCCCACCCCCCCAAGUGGAAGACAUCACGCCCCCCGGCCCCCCCAGCAGCUCCGGCUUCCGCGUGCCGCAGGGAGAAGGGGUUCAGCCUGGCCUUCGCUUGUUAGCGGUGGUCUCAGAGCUGGUGGCUGUGUGCCCAACCCAUCCAGGUACCCCCGGCCCCUGGAUGGCUCCACCUCGUUCAGACCACGUCGGACCAUACGUUGCCGGUCGUCUCCUUAGCGCGACCUCUGUACAAACCAGGCUGGCCCAGACUGGGAAGAUGUCUUACCGGUCCCGUGUGGAUGAGGCACCAGUGACAGAGCAGGUGCCGUGAGACUGGACCAAGGCUGUGACGCUCAGCGGAGAGCAGCGCAGGGGUCCGACGAGAGAGGUGCCGUCUGCUCGCCUUCCAGUCGCUUUCCAACCGUCACGCCGGAACAUUAACCCGGUUUCCCGGAAACCACGGGAACUCUGCACUCGCCCAGGAGGCAGUAGUCUGACCUCUGCACACAGGCCACGGCCGGGAUGGUUUAAGGUUGCAUCCACGUUACCUAAACACGGAGCUGCCAAACCCUCGUUCUACCUUAAGACGUUUGCCGUCAGCAUCCGCUCCGUCAGGCUGUGCUCAGCGGCUGUCAGCUGCCGCCCUGCAGUGACUUCUAGCAUCGCUUCGUGAUUUGUUUACACGGUGCCCAGCGCCGAGCCCUGUUUCUGUAGUGCGUGUGCCCCACGUCUCUGUUUGAACUGAGCCUUCCUUCAGUGUAUUCCUGGGGAGAUCAGAGGCGCUCCCGAGUUCGUGUGACGAUCUGUUGAGCCUCGCGGACAAGUGGUUUGUUCCCGCACAAACCAAACCUUCGUCCCCUAGUGCAAUAUAUUUGUGUGACUGCUUGUGUCUUUUUAAGACUCUUUGGCCUUUUAGAAAAUCGGUAAAUAAAGCGAGUAUAUUUUUAUUUUCA
rnacentral:lncRNA from 1 species